rnacentral:lncRNA from 1 species
GUUGAGUCUAUAUGAAUAUCAGAGAUAAAUAAAAGUUCAGAACUCCACUGGUAAAUUAUAUUGUUCCAAGCAAGACACACAAAAAUGAUUAUACAAAAUUUAGGUUUUACAAAAGUUCCGGCCCGGCACACCGUUAUACGAAGACUGGCUUAUAUUCUAAUUUAAGGAGGGAAUAGCAAUAUGAUACGACGCCCUACGCACACAGCCAUGCACAUGCAUUUACAUAGGUGUGUACGUAAGUGUCCCUACAGACACAU